CCCAAGAAGAAGAAGAAAAAGAAAGGCGGCCACCGGAGAAGCCGGUGAGAGGACGCAGGGCCGGAGCGGGUGGGAGAGGCCCGAGAGGAGAGGUCCCUGGCGUGCUGGUCCUCGCCCGGCAGGGGGCAGCACGGAAGCUGCACGUAUGAGCCCCGCCCCCGUCUCGGCCCUUCCCCUUGAUUCCCCGCCCCUCAAUUUAGUGCCCCCCUCAGCUCCUCCCUUCCGGAAGUCCCGCCCCUCGGCAAGCCCCUCCUCUUUACCAAGGCCCCUCCCCUCAUGGAGCCCCAGAACUGGACGCCCUGAGCGACCCCUUCGUUACCACACCAGGGUUUCUGCACUCACUAUCACAAGUGUGAGUGCCCCCUAGAGGGGCUUUGAAGGGUCUCAUCUGUAAGACUCUGUCUCAUCCCUGUGUUCCCCUCCCCUGUCUUGAGUGAGACCCCAGGGCCCCAACUAAUUCUGCCCAACUAUCUGUCCUUCUUCCUCCCUGGCAUUCACCGUCAGCAAAAAGAGGAGACUAGAGUCAGAGUGCAGGUCAGUGAUGAAGGUACAGGGGUGUGCGGGGUCCGGGGGGUCUCUGGGUGGGAGACACUCCAAGGCCAUCUCCUAGAAGCAGGAGGCCUGGCACCUCAGGGCCUGAACUUUGAAACCCCCAGUUGAUCAGCUUUUACCCUCUGAGGCCAGAAAUCCCAUCAUUGGAGCCUCUAACCUCUGGGUUUGAACGAUCCUUGAUUUCGCCAGCAAACUUGGAAGCUGGCGAAGGGACAACACAGGCAAGGCCAUCAACUCCCCUUGUGGCCUUUGGUAUCCCAUCCUUGAGCCGCAGGUCACUCUGGGCUCCAUGCCCUGAAUCCUCUUCUCAGCUUCCAUACCGCAGGCCCUCAGGGUUCUCCAGCUGUUCCCAGCUGCACCCCCAAACCCCAGCUCACUAGAGCUGCUUCCUCCUGUGUCUGCAGCUGUGGGAGCACCUCACCUCUGCGCAAGAAGAAAAAGAGCAUGAAGAAGCACCGCCGAAACAGGUCCAAUUCUGGGUCCCGGAGGAAGAGACGGCACAGAUCUCGAAGCCCCAAGAGCAAAAGAAAAGAGAAGAACAAAGAGAGGAAGAGGCCUCUCACAGAGUCCCCAGGCCAGAGGUCCCACCGGCACAGCAGCGGCAGUUCCCACAGCCCCUCGCUGUCCUCCCACUACAGUGACUCCGGAUCACCCAGCAGGCUGAGCCCCAAGCGCCGAGACGAUGGGCGGAAGACGGGCAGCCAGCGGUCCAGCGGGAGCCGGUCGCCUUCCCCGUCGGGCGGCAGCGGAUGGGGGUCUCCCCAGCAGAACGGCGGCAGCAGGCAGUGGAGCGGAGCGCACAGGGGCCGCCCGGGCCUGGCGCACAGCCCGCCCGAUGUACGUACGCUUCGCUUUGCGGAGGGUUCCCGCGCCGAGCAGGAGGGUGGGUCGCCGGAGGGGCCGGGUCGCUUCCUCCUCCCCUGCGCCCGCCGCUCACAGGGGAGUCGCCAGGAGGGCUCGGUUGUUUGUGCCCACCUGGCCCUAGACGCAAGGUGAGGGGGGCCUACAGGCUUGAGCCACCCUCGAGCUUGGCCAACUGAAGGCCAGAGAGGGGCUAACCACGGGGAUGCUUAGUUGGGUACUGAGCUGGGAAGGGACCAAGGUCGUCUCCUGCCUUCCCCCCGCGGGCACAUUAGGGGGAGCUGGACGUGGACAUCGGUGGGAGACGCAGUCAGGAACUGGAGUCAAAAGACAGGGGCUCCCUUGGGCGCCACGGGGUCCUGAGCCUUCUUCUCCCCAAGUCCUUGCUCCUCCUCUGAGACCCUCCCCUCUCCCACCCUCCUACUGGCCCCUCCCCCUUUCCCAGGUCCCCUCCCCCAUCUGAAUCCCCGCCGUGCGGAAGAGCUAUUUCUAUUUCUCGCUCCCCGGAGAAUCCGUCCUGUCCCGGGCGCGCACUGCCCUCACUUGGACAGACCUCUCAGCCCUGGCGCUCCACUUCCCACGGCCCUUGCCUCCGAGAGGACCACUCUGUGUGUCCACUCCCAUCUAGGCCGGGUUGGGAGUUCCACACCCACACCGCCCCCAAAACUGUCCCACCCACCCUCCGGGAGGGCGUUACCUCGAGCUACAGGCAGGUGGUGACCAAGAGCUGGUGGUGGAAGGGGGCUGCUCAGCCUUUCCCCGGGCUGCUGGUCGCACGGUGAGGAUUCAAUUUGCAGACCCCUUCCGUCUGCUAAUCGCGGGGUGCAGGAUUGAGGCCCUCAGACGGGGCGCUGCAGAGCUGGCAGGGGCGCUGGCUGGAUUUAGGGACUUGGGAUGGAGGGGCUGGCAGGUUCCUCUCCAGGCCUCCAGAUUGUCCCCAGAAGCCUCAGCCAGGAGGGGAGAGCCGCCCCUCCCAGAAUUUAGGUCACAGCAGUGGACGUAUACAUGCUGGUCAGUUUCAUUUUGAUUUUUGGCUGUUUCCUUUCACUCCCUUUCUUUUCUCAAAUAUCCUUACUCCCGUGGCCUCAGAGAGGAAAGUCAAGGGCAGCUGACAAAAGGUUCUGGUCUCAAGGUUAAUCUUAAUUGGAGGACAUUGUCCAUUUGGACAGGGUGCCAGUCCCUGGGGUGGCUCCUGGCUCCAGGGACAAUGGUUGGGCCACAUGAGGAGGCUCACACUAAUGUCCCAGGUCCGUCUUGGGGGUAGGAGUGGGCAUACAGGAUAGCUGAGGACGGCCGUGGCAUGGGCUGGUGCCACAGGCUCCGGAGCGGAUGAGCAAACCCAGAAGAGAGUGUGGUGACCCCCACUCACCUGGGCACAGAGCCCUGAGGUCACAGAAGCCCAAACACCUCUUGAGCAUCCCACCCUCCUGGGGCCUCCAGAGACUGCAGGUUCUCUUAGCCAGGGUGGGGAUUAAGUUCCUUCCCUGACCCCGGGGGUUUGAGCAACUACCCUCUCCGUGGAUAAUCUGUCCUUUCCCUGGCACUGCCCUUGCUUGGACAGGUGUCACAAAACUACUGUUCCAGGGCCGGGCAUUUAGCUCAGUGGUUGCUGCGCCUGCCUUGAAAGCACAAGGUCCUGAGUUCAAUCCCCACUACCCAAAAAAGCUACUGUUCCAACAAGGGACUUGCACAUGUGCAGACAAAGACUACAGCAUCUAGGCAGAUGUUCCUUUAGUGAGUCUGUGGGCCAGAGGACUUAGCCCCCAGCCUCCCAAAAUGGGGGACCCUACUGUGACGUAGCCCUGGGAGUUUUCCAGGAAAUAGCACUCUGUUACUCCUUUCUCCAGGCCUUGGCUCUAAAUCAUA
rnacentral:lncRNA from 1 species